AAUUAGAGAAAUAACCACAACAAAGACCCAACGGGGAAGACUUAACAAAGCAAGGCUCCACAGGGGAAAAGAAUCGUCAAAAAGGGAAAAACACAACUCCACUAGGGGAGGAAUAUUACCUAAAUAUCAGCCAAGUGAUAACUUAACAAAUUUAAUAAGCUCAAACAUGAUGAUUUCCAACUACCAUCCAAGUGGUAAGUUAACAAAGGCAACCAAAUAGAGGUAA
rnacentral:lncRNA from 1 species